GGCUCAGGACGAACGCUGGCGGCGUGCCUAACACAUGCAAGUCGAGCGAUGAAGCCCUCGGGGUGGAUUAGCGGCGGACGGGUGAGUAACACGUGGGUAACCUGCCUCAAAGAGGGGGAUAGCCUCCCGAAAGGGAGAUUAAUACCGCAUAAUAUUAGUUUUUUCGCAUGAAGAACUAAUUAAAGGAGUAAUCCGCUUUGAGAUGGACCCGCGGCGCAUUAGCUAGUUGGUGAGGUAAAGGCUCACCAAGGCGACGAUGCGUAGCCGACCUGAGAGGGUGAUCGGCCACAUUGGAACUGAGACACGGUCCAGACUCCUACGGGAGGCAGCAGUGGGGAAUAUUGCACAAUGGGCGAAAGCCUGAUGCCAGCAACGCCGCGUGAGUGAUGAAGGCCUUCGGGUUGUAAAGCUCUGUCUUUUGGGACGAUAAUGACGGUACCAAAGGAGGAAGCCACGGCUAACUACGUGCCAGCAGCUGC
rnacentral:rRNA from 1 species